AUUGAACGCUGGCGGCAGGCUUAACACAUGCAAGUCGAGCGGAGAUGAGGUGCUUGCACCUUAUCUUAGCGGCGGACGGGUGAGUAAUGCUUAGGAAUCUGCCUAUUAGUGGGGGACAACAUUCCGAAAGGAAUGCUAAUACCGCAUACGUCCUACGGGAGAAAGCAGGGGAUCUUCGGACCUUGCGCUAAUAGAUGAGCCUAAGUCGGAUUAGCUAGUUGGUGGGGUAAAGGCCUACCAAGGCGACGAUCUGUAGCGGGUCUGAGAGGAUGAUCCGCCACACUGGGACUGAGACACGGCCCAGACUCCUGCGGGAGGCAACAGUAGGGAAUAUUGGACAAUGGGGGAAACCCUGAUCCAGCCAAUCCGCGUGUGUGAAGAAGGCCUUAUGGUUGUAAAGCACUUUAAGCGAGGAGGAGGCUACUGAGACUAAUACUCUUGGAUAGUGGACGUUACUCGCAGAAUAAGCACCGGCUAACUCUGUGCCAGCCGCCGCCGUAA
rnacentral:rRNA from 1 species